rnacentral:rRNA from 1 species
GGGUCAGUAGGUUGGUCGUGCCACCGGUACGUACUGGUCUCACUGAUUCCUCCUUCCUGAAGAACCGUAAUGCCAUUAAUUUGGUGUUGCGGGGAAACAGGACUGUUACUUUGAAAAAAUUAGAGUAUUCAAAGCAAGCUAACGCUUGAAUACAUUAGCAUGGAAUAAUGAAAUAGGACGAUCGAUCCUAUUUUGUUGGUUUCUAGGAUUGACGUA